rnacentral:rRNA from 1 species
UACCAGCACCCCGAGUGGUCGGGACGAUUAUUGGGCCUAAAGCAUCCGUAGCCGGUUCUACAAGUCUUCCGUUAAAUCCACCUGCUUAACAGAUGGGCUGCGGAGGAUACUAUAGAGCUAGGAGGCGGGAGAGGCAAGCGGUCCUUAGUGGGUAGGGGUAAAAUCCGUUGAUCCAUUGAAGACCACCAGUGGCGAAGGCGGCUUGCCAGAACGCACUCGACGGUGAGGGAUGAAAGCUGGGGGAGCAAACCGG